UGGGGCCAAGGAGGUAUAGAGGUGAGGCCUGGCCCUGGGGUUUGUGAAACUGGGUGGGAGCUUCUGGGGAAGGUAGUAGAGGUCUUAAAACAAGGUCUGAUUAUUCCAAGGUAGGACUUGGGGGUCCUAGAAGAAAUGUCUUAGAAUCCAGGUAUCCUCCAGUAGGCCUGGGAUUAUGUGCAGGUAUGGCCUUGGAAAUAAGAUCUAGAGUUCUACGGAAACAGCAUGGGUGCCCUAAAUGAGUUUGGAGGUCUUAAAAGUGAGGUUUAUAAUUCCAGGACCUAGGGUGGGGGGGUUCUCAGGACCUGGGGUAGGGUCUCUUGGCCAAAGUCUUAAGAGAUCAAAUCUGAGGGGGUGGGGUAGAUUUGAGGGUUCUGGGACUCAGGGUCCUAGGGACAUGAUCUGGAAGCCCUGGUGAGGUGGAGGCUCUGAAGCAAAUCUAGAGAGUCCCACAGUUAAGCUCUUGGGGUUUCAGGAGGACAAGGUCUGGGGUCUUGGGCAGAUCUAGAAGGUCCACAAGGUAAGAUCUGGUGAUUGAAGGGGGGGAGCUUGGGGCUUUAAUGAGGGGUAUAGGAGACCUAGAGGUCCUUAGACAAGUCUGGAGUCCUAGGGUUGCCAUGUGAAGGAAUGGAACUGGGGCCCUGGGGACGGAGCAUGGGUGAAGAGAGACUGGACCUGGGAGUCCUAAGUGAGCACGACGAAGGGGCGGGGCCUAAACGCUCAGAGGGCGGGGCCUGGGCAUGCGGUGGAAUGGGGCUUGUGAGGGAAGACAAUGAAUCGGGAAGGUCGGAAUGGACCAGAGUGGCAGGUCCUGAUCCCCGAGGUCCUAGGCUAGGUCCAGGUCAUUGGGGAAGAAAAGGGAGCAGUGGCACAUACGCGGUAGACGUCCCCGCUACUCACAUCUCGAGACCGGUGCCGAUGUGGGGUCAGGCAGGCAGGUUUGUGGCAACCCUGCAUCGAGCAAGUCUACUGGCACCAUUUUUCCGACAUACUGUGCUCACUUCAUGUCUCUAGAUCUGGUGGAAACAGCAAGAGAACUAGAAUUGAAAGUAGAGUCUGAAGAUGCGACUGAAUUGCUGCAACCUCAUGAUCAAACUUGAACAGAUAAAGAGUUGCUUCUUACAGAUGAGUAAAGAAAGUGGUUUCUUGAGAUGGGAUCUAUUCUAGGUGAAGAUGCUGUGAACAUUGUUGAAUGACAACAAAGGAUUUAGAAUAUUCCAUACACUUAGUUGAUGAAGCAACAGCAGGGCUUGAGAGGACAGACUCCAAUUUUGAAAGCGCUACUGUAGGAGAACCCCAGGACUAGAAGACUACAGAGCACCCAAAGACAAGACUGACAUCUUUUAAAUAUGAAGAUGCAAAGGCGCACCAAGAGAUGCAAGGAGAGUGACCCAGAAGGUUACACAACAGCUUCUAUAUUUCCAAUAUUAAUUGCUGGUCUACUGCAAAUGCUUUGGCAUCGUUUUUUGGUUUUGUUUUUUGAAAGAGAAAAACAAAACACCUGUAACAUUGAAUUCUUCCCAUUUCAAUUUUCAAAGAAUGGAUUUGAAACCUUCUGUAGAGAACCCAAGAAAGCAGCUCAACUCCUGCACAGAAAAGUGAAAAAAAAUUCUUGCAGGAAUUCUCUGCUGAAUCCCCAAAGGAAACGUAACUUACGGUUUGCAGCUGUUAAAAACCAUAUAACCGGCCGGGCGCGGUGGCUCACGCCUGUAAUCCUAGCACUCUGGGAGGCCGA